UACGGGGGGAGCAAGCGUUGUUCGGAUUUACUGGGCGUAAAGGGCGCGUAGGCGGCGCAACAAGUCACUUGUGAAAUCUCCGGGCUUAACUCGGAACGGUCAAGUGAUACUGUUGUGCUAGAGUGCGGAAGGGGCAACUGGAAUUCUCGGUGUAGCGGUGAAAUGCGUAGAUAUCGAGAGGAACACCUGCGGCGAAGGCGGCUCACUGGACCGGUACUGACGCUGAUGCGCGAAAGCGUGGGGAGCAAACAGG
rnacentral:rRNA from 1 species